AUUUCGGGGAAUUUGUUGCUGGUUGAUCAAUAGUUCUGGACGAAUUUUUUUUUCUUUUUUUUGUGUUUUAUCCUAAUUCAUCUCAGUAUUACAGUUCACAGAAAUUCAAAAUUGCAAUCAUUAACCUAAUCUUCGAAUUUUUUGAGGUUAUUUUAAAAUUUCGCACCAGUACCCCAAAAAAAUAAAAAAAUAAAAAAACCACUCAAGCCCUAAUUCCAACCAAACGUCUACUAUGUCUGCAAUUCACGCUCAUUUCUCUCACCCCGCCGACCUACGAUCGUCGUCACCACCGCUUUUGCAAGACCGCAAGUAUGUUAGACACUACAUUUAGCUUUAAGAAGCUAAGGGAGGAAUAUUUGCAUGGCCUGCCAAGUUUGUUAGAAGAACUUAGUCGUACUUGUUUUCAGAGUACAGAUUAACCCAAGUGAGAGGAUGCCACGUGGCGAGGUGGCACGUUGCCAUGAUGCGAGGUCGAACUUGAUGUGAGGUGGUUAGAGGAAAGCUGCCUAAAAGGCAGGAAGGACCUCAAACAGGUGGCAUGCUGACAUGUGGCGGUGCACUUCUUUAAGAGGUGGAUGGUGACACAUGAUCAAGGUGUUCUCUCUCAAAGAUAAGAUUGGUGGUAUGCCUAUUACCACUUUAAUACGGGGCAUCGUCCCUUACAAGGAUGAGGAUCACGGGAUUCAUUCAACCCAAACCUUUGUAAUGCAAAGCACUUCAAUGUCAAUCCCUUAUAAUACGGGGACGAUAAUUAUCGGAUUUAUUUAGCCCGGACCCUUAUAGUACAGGGUAUUUAAUGUUAAUCCCUUAUAACACUAGGACUAGAAUUACGGGAAUCAUUUAGCCCGGACCCCUAUAUCACGGAAUACUUAAUAUUAAUCCCUUAUAAUACGGAGACGAGAA